rnacentral:rRNA from 1 species
GUGCCAGCCGCCGCGGUAAUACCGGCAGCCCGAGUGAUGGCCGAUCUUAUUGGGCCUAAAGCGUCCGUAGCUGGCUGCGCAAGUCCGUUGGGAAAUCCACCCGCUUAACGGGUGGGCGUCCAGCGGAAACUGUCCGGCUUGGAGCCGGAAGAUCCGAGGGGUACGUCCGGGGUAGGAGUGAAAUCCCAUAAUCCCGCACGGACCACCGAUGGCGAAAGCACUUCAAGAAAACGGAUCCGACAGUGAGGGACGAAAGCCAGGGUCUCCAACCGGAUUAGAAACCCGAGUAGUCC